GAUGAACGCUGGCGGUGUGCCUAAUACAUGCAAGUCGAGCGAAAAGAUGAGGAGCUUGCUCCCUUGAGGUUGGCGACGGACGGGUGAGUAACACAUGCAUAACCUACUAAUAAGACUGGGGUGACUACGGAGAGCCGCAUCUGAUACCAGCUCAUACGUCCUACGGCUUGGAGCAAUAGAUAAUCAGAGCUUUCGUGAUUGUAAUAGCCGAUGUCGGAUUAGCUAGUUGGCAAGGUAAAGGCCCACCAAGGCAACGAUGCGUAGCUGACCUGAGAGGGUGAUCAGCCACACUGGAACUGAGACACGGUCCAGACUCCUACGGGAGGCAGCAGUAGGGAAUCUUCCACAAUGGGCGAAAGCCUGACGGAGCAACGCCGCGUGAGUGAUGAAGGUCUUCGGAUCGUAAAGCUCUGUUAUUAGGGAAGAACAACUGUGUAAGUAACUAUGCCCGUCUUGACGGUACCUAAUCAGAAAGCCACGGCUAACUUCGUG
rnacentral:rRNA from 1 species